AAACUCUGAUCUAACAAUUCAGUUUUCCAAUUAAAUGAAUGUGGUAUCAUUAAUGUACUUACCAAAUUGUUGCCAAAAUUUCCCAAAUCCGGAAGACGUGCAUGCAUAGGUUUUUCCAUGUCUGGAUGGCUGCAGCGGGUGGAGUUGGAAUUCUUCGCAGGAUAGAUUCAUCCGCCAUGUAUUUGGCUCUGUACAUAGUGUUGCAGAUUGCGUUCGGCCUAGCAUGCAUUUGCCAAAUCCUUUUUCCCAGUAGAGCAAAAUUAUGCAUUCUGGUAAUGAGUAAGUCAUCUGCGUACAUCAGAUGUAGUAUCGGGGAAGUUUUUGUCGAAAUGCUCAACCCUUUCAACUUGCCUGCAUCUUCCAGGAUUGCUAUAUUGGUGGAUAGGAUUUCUGCGCACAUUAUUAAAAUGUAGGGUGACAAUGGGUCUCCUUGUUUGAGUCCCCUUGUUGGUUUGAUGUGUCCCCGAGGUGAUCCGUUGAUGUUAAUAGCAUAUGUCACCGUGGUUAUGCAUAAAAUUAUAUAUUCUACAAACAUGGACGGAAAACCCAAGGAGAUCAAGGUUUGUUUCACAAACCCCCAAUCUAGAUUGUCAUAUGCCUUCUUUAUGUCUAGUUUUAUUGCAAUUUUUGGGUUUUUGGUUGGUGCUGUAGAACGGAGGUGAUGGAGAAUUUUAGUGGAAAUGGUUAUCAUGAAUAGCUCUGUUUGGGACAAAAGCACUUUGGUAUGGACUAAUCAUAAACUGAAGUACAGGUCUCAGUAUAUCCAUUAGCAGUUUGGAAAUAAUUUUGUAAACCACGUUGCAAAGACCAAUGGGUCGAAAUUCAUUUGCUGAAGUUGGGUUGUCUGAUUAUGCGAUGAGAGUAAUGUUUGUGUGGUUGAUGGGGUUUUCCAUCUCCACAUUUUCAAAAAAAUUGGUCACCAAGUCUAUAAUUUGCGGUUUUGUAGUGUCCCAGAAAGUUUUGAACAACUUACUUGUAUAUCCAUUCGUCCCUGGUGCCUUUUCCGAUCCAAUACUUUGAAUAGCUUUGUGAAUUUCCUCAAUGGUUGGUGCUUUCAUCAACCGGGUGCAGUGAAACUGUGAUAUCCGAGGUGUUAUGUUGGCAAACAGUUGCAUGUCCAACUCUGUAGGUUGUGUUAUGUAUUGUUGUUCAUAAUGUUGGAUCAGCAUUGCAGCAAUUUGUCUUUGAUUGUAUACCCAUAUUUGAUUUGAAUCUAGUAGUUGGUGAAUGUGGUUGAUUCUGUUGUUGAUGGUUGCUUUAGUGUGAAAGAAUUUGGUGUUGAGGUCUCCAUUUUUUAACCAGUCAACUCGCGAUCUUUGUUUCCAGUACUCAUCAUGGCAGUGAAGGAGCAUCAGGUGUGAAUUCCUAGUUUCUCUUUCAUGCUUCAGCAAAAAAAUCAGUUCAUUUCUUGUUGUGGUUGCACAUUUUGAUUGUGCCAAUUGUAUUUGAAACUCAGCUUCCUUAAGGAGUUCAGGUAGAUGGCCAAACGUUUGUUUGUGCCAUUGUUGUAGGGCCACAGCUGUUUCCCUUAUUCUUGUCAAUAGGUUUUGUCCUACCGUCUCAGCUUCCUUAUGGGAGUAAUUUUGUUACCAAGAUGUAAUGACAAUCUCUUUCAUUUUUGGGUGUAA